AAUAAUAUGCUUAAAGUUUAGGCAGGCUUUUUGAAAUAUGAGAAGAUAUCCUCCCGGCCGUGAUCCAAUGGCCAAAAAUCAUGAGAAAAUCAUUCUGAAAAGAUAAGGAUAAGCUAAAAUCAAGGAAAAAGAUCAAAAAUAAAAGAGAAGAAAAGAAAACCACGGACUCUCUUCGACUAUAAAAGAGGCAGUUGUCAAAGCAU
rnacentral:lncRNA from 1 species